AACAAUGUCUCCGUAGGUGAACCUGCGGAGGGAUCAUU
rnacentral:rRNA from 1 species